rnacentral:lncRNA from 1 species
UCAGGACACCUGAGCAGGAAGAGUGAACCAGGAGUCCACAACUAGACUGCACUGCAAAAGAACUUAUCCCAAAAAGAUUCUAGAGCCCUACCCAGUGUGGGGACCACGCAGCACCAACUUACCCAUCUCCCAACCCUCACUUCUCGUCUCUAUGUGCUUUUAGUUUGGGUUUUGUUUUGGUUUUUUUGUUUUGUUUUGUUUUUUUUCCAGGCCUGGGGAUCAUUCCCCUUGCUUGUGCACUCAAGGCAUGGGCUUUGCUGAGCUGCAUCUCUCCAGCAUUCAUUGAGUGUUCAUAAUGUAUUUCCCAAAUUGAAAGUAUUCAGAGCUAAUGGUUGAAAACUAGUAUCCAAUUUUAUGUGUAUUCCGUGCCAUCACAUACACACAAAAAGAGUGCAGCUGUCACUGGUGAUGUUAGCCUGGCUAUUGCUUGAGCUAACAUUUGACCUUUUUCUUACAUAUUUUAUCUCAAACUUUUUUUUGAAGCUGGGUCUCACUAUGUAGAUCUGCCUAGCCUGGAACUUGCAGAGAUCAGUGUGUCUGUCUAUGCCUCCAAAGUGCUGAGAUGAAGGGAUAGCCCACCUCACUCAGCCCCACAGCAGUCUUAAAUUCCAACCAGAAGCACACAUGGCAGCACUCCUAGCAUUGAGGAAGUGGAAACAAGCAGACUGAAAGUUUAAGACUGUGUGGGCUACAGAGUGAGAUUGUCUCACCUCUGGGGGAAAAAUUACAGUAAAAUGCUACUCUGUUGUUGUCCUGCUUUUGAGAUUGACUGUGUCACUCAGGCUGACCUGCCUCAGGCUCCGGGGCUUGCAGCUGUGCACCACUGCAUCUGGCUCCUUUUUAACUCUUUAGCUAGAGUGUGCUCUAGAGGAGCCUCAGCCAUGUGAGCCAUGGAAGAAGCUGUGGAACAACACGGUGCAGUGCUGACCACUUGUCUUCUGCGCAAGAGUGUGAAUUGUGGACAUGCCCUUCCUCAGCAUGCCUUGCAGUGAGGUCAUGCAGGGAAUAGUCACAGAGCACUGUGGACAGUGGCUUAUGCACAGUACAGCCUUAGGAAAACACCUUAUAUCUUGAAAACUGGGCCGUAUUAUUUAUGAACAAUGUCAGUGGGAAAGAAAAAAGAUGUGUUCUAGCUUUGCCUGGUAAUUGGUGACUGAAAGAACAUAGUAGUAGAUAUUUACAGGAGAAGUAUGUUGAAUUUAUUGUUGGCUGGUAUUCAUUCGAGAUGACAGAAUGCUUAUUACUUCUAUGAAAUCAAAAAUAAACUUGAAUUUGAAACAUUUUUACCAGAAUAACUUAUUGUCACAUAAAAUCAGAAGCUAACUAAGUAUGUAUACCACAUUUGUUUUCUUUCCCCAGGAGCUUUGAGGACUGUGUAGGGCUGUCUAGCACUCAGGAAAUUUUAGCAUACUAUUUAACAUCGUCUAUUGGUCUUUGCCCAAAUAGUUUUGAGCGGUGACGUUAUAGCACUCUGAGAGCCUAAAGUCUCUCAGAUGCAAUUGAAGUUUAGGAGGAAGGGAAGGGAGCCUUCAGUUUAUUUUCAGUGUUCCAUGUGUACAAGUGGAGUAAUGCCACACUCAAUGUCACUGCAGAGGCACAGCAGCACACUGAGUACAUAAGACACAGGUAAAAAGCCCCACACCUGUCUUUAAAAUUAUGCUAAGGAUUUCAUAAUGAGAUAGGUGUGUGCGGGGGGGGGGGGGGGGUAUGUGUGUGUAUUUAGGACAUAAAGGAAGUUAAAACGUGAUUUAUUGUUAAUCAAAAUAAGAUUGGGUACUUCCUGGAGUCUGAUUCCUCGACAUUUUAACCUUAAAGGGCUUCUGCCAUGGUUACUAACCAGAUGAGAAAACUGAAAAUUGUAAGUGCUGCCUCAGGUUACAUAACUUUAGUUAACCAGUUCACUUGUGUAACUUAACAGUCGGUAGCAUUACAUUGUAAGAGGAUGGAAAUAAGAAUGAGUAGCUUGUGGGGAGGUCCCAGUUCGUGUUCCAAGUAUUAUAUGCUGGGUAAGCUGUUGACAUGAAAAAAAGCCAGCUGCAAGCCACUUAGUUUUUUGGGUUUUUUUUUUUCUUUUUUUUUUCUUUUUUGGUUUUUUGAGACAGGGUUUUUCUGUGUAGCCCUGGCUGUCCUAGAACUCACCUUGUAGACCAGGCUGGCCUCGAACUCAGAAAUCCGCCUGCCUCUGCCUCCCAAGUGCUGGGACUAAAGGCGUGGGCCACCACACCCAGCUGUUGCAGGCCACUUAGUAGUGGGGAAGAUGUUGGGGAAACUUUGGUCUUUGUCUAAUACUCCCCGGAGCAUUUUGCAGCUUUGUGGCUGUAUUGGAUUAGUCGCUCCCUGGUUUGCUGUUGAUCUUUGUUUUAAGGCUUCUCCAGGGACUCACUAACACCCUCACUCCUCCAGGACUUUUUGAACUCCAAAAAUCUGUGUGAAACAACUCCAGGAGAGUCCCUCCUCACAAGAACACUUAGAGAAAGCCAGCACUGUGACAGCACCUAGCCUCAUGCUGCCAUGGCACAAAUGCACCCUGCACUCAUGAUUGUGGGGCCUGGAGAGGGAAUGUCGUCUAUUUCCUUUUAGUGACCUAAGUAAGAGUGCUUUAACUUCAAAAGCAGCAGAGGAAAUCUUUAGCUUCUGUGCAGCAGAAGGGAACAGAAAACACUUGGAAUGCAUGGGGAGAUUAGCAUUCAAUAUAUGGAUUUAUUUGGGGUGAGGCAAACACAAUAGGCAAAAAGAAAAUGCAGGCCUGGCGUAAGCCCCCCACACCAAAUAAUUAAAAGGUGAGAAAUGGCUAAUGAGUGUGAGAAGGCCUUGGGUGGUUAACAACUCUAAAUGUCAGUAAGUAAAAGCAGACCUUGGUGGUCUGGUGGUGGGAAGUAAGCCUUGCUGUCCUAGGUGGUUGGAGUGGAGGUCCUUGCUUCCAUUUUUAGGGGAUUGUGGUGCCAGUGUCCCCCCCCCCCCAAAAAAAAGCCUCAGAAAUGAAGUGUUAACUUUGAUCCAUGACACUUGCAGUGGAGUAAGCAGGUUUUCUUAUUUUAAGCCUUAAGGGUUUGAAGGUGUUGAGGGUUUUUUUUUGGGGGGGGUUCCCCCCUUGUUUUUGGAAAUAAUGGGAAGUGAAAAAAAAACUGACUUUACUUGUUUUCUUAGUUUUAGUGCAUGAAUGAUCAAACAGGAAAGGCCAUGCUGUAAUUCAGACAUUUAAGAUUGUGUCCAUCCCAAGGAUUCUUGCACUUAAUGUUUCUCCACCUGGAAGUAUCUCCAAGACAAAUGCACCUGACACCUGUGCUCCUCCCUGCUCAAGCUGCACUGUAAGGAAGUCUUCCCCGAACACCCUUUAAAUUAGAAACUCCUCAGUCCCCAGCUUCCCCUGCUUUAUAUGUCUCCGUUGUAUACAGAUGCUGCCAGUGUCUGUCCGUCUCCAUGUGCAUUGCUGUGCCUGAACCCUCCUCUUAGACUGUAAACCAUCUGAGGUCAGUGACUUAGAACAGGGAAUUCAGAUUCUAUGGACAGUGCUUGGCUGUUUGAAAUGUUCUCCAUUUGUGGGCAAAUUGUUUUCAGAACUCU